AAUAAGUUAAAUUUGCUAUUAUAGAUCAAGAAGAAUGAAAUUCGGGAGUAGAUCGGGGAAAAGAAAAAGUAAAUGACUAAAUUGUAAAGUUUAGUCACAUUUUGUAUAAAGGUAAGUUACAGUAAAUAAAUGCAAUAUUAUUUUAUUUUACAUUAAUAUUUUCAAUUUCCAGCAUUUAUAUAUUUAUGUUAUGAAAAUAUUUAAAGUCGAAUUUAAGGUGAAGUGACAGAGGA
rnacentral:lncRNA from 1 species